CCUACGGGAGGCAGCAGUCGAGAAUCAUUCACAAUGGGGGAAACCCUGAUGGUGCGACGCCGCGUGGGGGAAUGAAGGUCUUCGGAUUGUAAACCCCUGUCAUGUGGGAGCAAAUUAAAAAGAUAGUACCCCAAGAGGAAGAGACGGCUAACUCUGUGCCAGCAGCCGCGGUAAUACAGAGGUCUCAAGCGUUGUUCGGAAUCACUGGGCGUAAAGCGUGCGUAGGCUGUUUCGUAAGUCGUGUGUGGAAGGCGCGGGCUCAACCCGCGGACGGCACAUGAUACUGCGAGACUAGAGUAAUGGAGGGGGAACCGGAAUUCUCGGUGUAGCAGUGAAAUGCGUAGAUAUCGAGAGGAACACUCGUGGUGAAGGCGGGUUCCUGGACAGUAACUGACGCUGAGGCACGAAGGCCAGGGGAGCGAAAGGGAUUAGAUACCCCAGUAGUC
rnacentral:rRNA from 1 species